UACGAAGGGGGCUAGCGUUGUUCGGAUUUACUGGGCGUAAAGCGCACGUAGGCGGAUUGUUAAGUCGGGGGUGAAAUCCUGGAGCUCAACUCCAGAAUUGCCUUCGAUACUGGCUUUCUAGAGGCUGGAAGAGGUUAGUGGAAUUCCCAGUGUAGAGGUGAAAUUCGUAGAUAUUGGGAAGAACACCAGUGGCGAAGGCGGCUUACUGGACCGGUUCUGACGCUGAGGCGCGAAAGCGUGGGGAGCAAACGGG
rnacentral:rRNA from 1 species